UAGCCAGUGAUGGCAUGCGAAUCUCGAAAGCCUAUCUCAGUUCGGAUUGGAGGCUGAAACCCGCCUCCAUGAAGUUGGAUUCGCUAGUAAUCGCGCAUCAGCCAUGGCGCGGUGAAUACGUUCCCGGGCCUUGUACACACCGCCCGUCAAGCCAUGGGAGCCGGGGGUGCCUGAAGUUCGUUACCGUAAGGAUCGACCUAGGGCAAAACUGGUGACUGGGGCUAAGUCGUAACAAGGUAGC
rnacentral:rRNA from 1 species